ACAUAAGUAACGAUAAAGCGGGUGAAAAGCCCGCUCGCCGGAAGACCAAGGGUUCCUGUCCAACGUUAAUCGGGGCAGGGUGAGUCGACCCCUAAGGCGAGGCCGAAAGGCGUAGUCGAUGGGAAACAGGUUAAUAUUCCUGUACUUGGUGUUACUGCGAAGGGGGGACGGAGAAGGCUAUGUUGGCCGGGCGACGGUUGUCCCGGUUUAAGCGUGUAGGCUGGUUUUCCAGGCAAAUCCGGAAAAUCAAGGCUGAGGCGUGAUGACGAGGCACUACGGUGCUGAAGCAACAAAUGCCCUGCUUCCAGGAAAAGCCUCUAAGCAUCAGGUAACAUCAAAUCGUACCCCAAACCGACACAGGUGGUCAGGUAGAGAAUACCAAGGCGCUUGAGAGAACUCGGGUGAAGGAACUAGGCAAAAUGGUGCCGUAACUUCGGGAGAAGGCACGCUGAUAUGUAGGUGAAGUCCCUCGCGGAUGGAGCUGAAAUCAGUCGAAGAUACCAGCUGGCUGCAACUGUUUAUUAAAAACACAGCACUGUGCAAACACGAAAGUGGACGUAUACGGUGUGACGCCUGCCCGGUGCCGGAAGGUUAAUUGAUGGGGUCAGCGCAAGCGAAGCUCUUGAUCGAAGCCCCGGUAAACGGCGGCCGUAACUAUAACGGUCCUAAGGUAGCGAAAUUCCUUGUCGGGUAAGUUCCGACCUGCACGAAUGGCGUAAUGAUGGCCAGGCUGUCUCCACCCGAGACUCAGUGAAAUUGAACUCGCUGUGAAGAUGCAGUGUACCCGCGGCAAGACGGAAAGACCCCGUGAACCUUUACUAUAGCUUGACACUGAACAUUGAGCCUUGAUGUGUAGGAUAGGUGGGAGGCUUUGAAGUGUGGACGCCAGUCUGCAUGGAGCCGACCUUGAAAUACCACCCUUUAAUGUUUGAUGUUCUAACGUUGACCCGUGAUCCGGGUUGCGGACAGUGUCUGGUGGGUAGUUUGACUGGGGCGGUCUCCUCCUAAAGAGUAACGGAGGAGCACGAAGGUUGGCUAAUCCUGGUCGGACAUCAGGAGGUUAGUGCAAUGGCAUAAGCCAGCUUGACUGCGAGCGUGACGGCGCGAGCAGGUGCGAAAGCAGGUCAUAGUGAUCCGGUGGUUCUGAAUGGAAGGGCCAUCGCUCAACGGAUAAAAGGUACUCCGGGGAUAACAGGCUGAUACCGCCCAAGAGUUCAUAUCGACGGCGGUGUUUGGCACCUCGAUGUCGGCUCAUCACAUCCUGGGGCUGAAGUAGGUCCCAAGGGUAUGGCUGUUCGCCAUUUAAAGUGGUACGCGAGCUGGGUUUAGAACGUCGUGAGACAGUUCGGUCCCUAUCUGCCGUGGGCGCUGGAGAACUGAGGGGGGCUGCUCCUAGUACGAGAGGACCGGAGUGGACGCAUCACUGGUGUUCGGGUUGUCAUGCCAAUGGCACUGCCCGGUAGCUAAAUGCGGAAGAGAUAAGUGCUGAAAGCAUCUAAGCACGAAACUUGCCCCGAGAUGAGUUCUCCCUGACUCCUUGAGAGUCCUGAAGGAACGUUGAAGACGACGACGUUGAUAGGCCGGGUGUGUAAGCGCAGCGAUGCGUUGAGCUAACCGGUACUAAUGAACCGUGAGG
rnacentral:rRNA from 1 species